rfam:Picea glauca, whole genome shotgun sequence.
ACAUGGAUUCCUACAAUGUUAAUUCAUCAAAUCCCAUUAGAAAUUUGUAGUUAAGCAUGCUUGUGCUAGAGUAGUACUAGGAUGGGUGACCUCUUGGUAAGUCCUAGUGUUUUACAUGCC